rnacentral:rRNA from 1 species
AAACGUAGGAGGCUAGCGUUAUCCGGAUUUAUUGGGCGUAAAGCGCGUGCAGGCGGUUUGAUAAGUUGGAUGUGAAAUCUCCCGGCUUAACUGGGAGCGGUCGUUCAAAACUAUCAGACUAGAGAAUGGGAGAGGAAGGUGGAAUUCCGGGUGUAGUGGUGAAAUUCGUAGAGAUCGGGAGGAAUAUCAGUGGCGAAGGCGCCCAUCUGGACGGUAACUGACGCUGAGACGCGAAAGCGUGGGGAGC